CUACAGUCCCUGCAAUAAAUUAUAAAUAUUAAUCAAACUUUCGGUAUUCAAUAUCUAGAUAGAGUAUUACAAACAAAGAAAUUACAAGAAGUUAUCAUAUAAGUAUCUUGUGAAGUAACUGAUUGCUUAUUUUUCUUGUUCUUUGGUCUGUUUGAGUCAAGGGAAGCUAUAUGUAUAGGACAAUUUCUUUUUCAAUAAUCCAGCUUCUUGCAAAAGAAGUAUUCUGCUUGGCUCUUGUCGACUUUCGACUUUUUACUCUGUUUUGACUUUAGAUCGGUGGCAUG
rnacentral:lncRNA from 1 species